rnacentral:rRNA from 1 species
GGCCAUACCACCCUGAACGCACCCGAUCUCGUCUGAUCUCAGAAGCUAAGCAGGGUCGGGCCUGGUUAGUACUUGGAUGGGAGACAAAAUAAGGCAGCCAAUUAUA